UACGGAGGGGGCAAGCGUUAUUCGGAAUUACUGGGCGUAAAGCGCGCGUAGGUGGCGUGUUAAGUCCCCCGUUUAAUGCAACGGCUCAACCGUUGCGCUGCGGGAGAUACUGGCAUGCUUGAGUGCCGGAGAGGGAAACGGAAUUCCGAGUGUAGCGGUGAAAUGCAUAGAUAUUCGGAGGAACACCAGUGGCGAAGGCGGUUUCCUAGACGGUAACUGACGCUGAGGCGCGAAAGCCAGGGGAGCAAACGGG
rnacentral:rRNA from 1 species